rnacentral:rRNA from 1 species
AUGCGCUUGCUCGACGUGUAUGCAAUGAAGGAUGAGAGGACUUGUGGUUAUGACAAAUGGAUCGACAAACCAUGGCAGGGAAGGGAAAGAAGUGUAAUUGCUAAUCUUGCUAGCAAGAAAGAGGUUUUGGAGAAGAAGCUGAAGGAGAAAGAUGGUGACAUAGAAGCUGUGAAGGAGAAGCAGAUAAUGGAGACGAGAAUGAUUGCAAUGGAGAUCAGUUGCUAUCCAGAGAUAGGAUGA